UUUCGAAACAGAGUGACCGUCUGUAGUUUUUUUGUGUAGUGCUCCGAGCCAAAAUGUGUUCGAAGCACCACGAGAAGCUGCAGAUGGAACAACUUGUAU
rnacentral:pre_miRNA from 16 species